rnacentral:rRNA from 1 species
GACGAACGCUGGCGGCGUGCUUAACACAUGCAAGUCGAACGGUGAACGAGGGAGCUUGCUCCCUCCGGAUCAGUGGCGAACGGGUGAGUAACACGUGAGCAAUCUGCCCCGAACUCUGGGAUAAGCGUUGGAAACGACGUCUAAUACCGGAUACGACGCGGGAGGGCAUCCUCUCCGCGUGGAAAGAACUUCGGUUCGGGAUGAGCUCGCGGCCUGUCAGCUUGUUGGUGAGGUAACGGCUCACCAAGGCGACGACGGGUAGCCGGCCUGAGAGGGUGACCGGCCACACUGGGACUGAGACACGGCCCAGACUCCUACGGGAGGCAGCAGUGGGGAAUAUUGCACAAUGGGCGCAAGCCUGAUGCAGCAACGCCGCGUGAGGGACGACGGCCUUCGGGUUGUAAACCUCUUUUAGCAGGGAAGAAGCGAAAGUGACGGUACCUGCAGAAAAAGCACCGGCUAACUACGUG